GUAAGAAAACUUUUGUAAAAAUGACGUAUUCACGACCAUUUAGCCUAACGGUAGCUAAUGCAUACUGUGCAGAGGUUAUAUUUUAUGUAUUACAUAUAUUUUUUGCCCUCACUUGUUAUACUUUUAAUAAGAUAGUAAUUUAAAUAUUAGGUUAUUGAGGCACGAAUAUUAGCCUAAGCUCCUAAAUAAAUAAAUACUAUUUUAUGCCUCCGCAGUGUAAAUGAAAUCAGUUAGAGAUGCGCCUUGAUGCGCCAAUCCGCUUCUUGUGCCAUCAUCUGUGUCCUUGCUUUGGCUAAUGUUUAUGUUUAAUCUUGCAUCCUAAAGGCUCCCAAACGCAGAGACUCCUUUUAGGUUUUUCAAAGGUCAGCUGUUUGAAGUCACAGAUGAAGCUAAACGAAAACAGUCUUGUGUUAAAAUGAAACGGGAAACAGUUAUUGGCUAAUGCGCGCUUUUCUUAGUGAAUGAUGUUAACUGAAAUGAUGACCAUGCACAUCCUAGUUAGUCUUAUUCUAAUAGUAUGCGAAUGCAGGACCAGUACAGGCUGUCGCUACCAACAGAGUCAGACAUAAAAAAAAAACAGGAAAGUCUGUGAAGUGUGUGUAUGUGUGUAACUAUUCAUAUACAAAUGCAACAGUUAAAUUUUGCAUACACCCAAACGAUGACGGUUGUGCAUGCCUUUCAUGUCAUUUGAAGUGUGUACCAUACUGGAUACUUGCAAUCCAUGUAAGGUGCACACUAACUUGACCUUCAAUUUGUGCAUUGCUCCCGCCCACCAAAACGGGCCUACGGCAGAAGGGGUGGGAUCGAGACUCAUCCUCUUCCUGAAUUCUAACGCUGGCCGUUUUGCACUUCUGGCAAUAAAGAAUACUGGCCACAGGUUACAGGAUAACACGUUUUCUUUUUCCACCAGCAACAAUUCGUUAAGUUAUUUAAUAAGCAUUUAAAGAAUCUUUUUAUUGCAGACGUUAUUGUGAUUCUACCCUCGAAUGAUACGCUCAUUCAACAACCGGUACAUCAAAGUGCUUUUGCAAUGCCUGGUUAGCUGAAAGAUAAGCUGUGGAAGCGGAGACAUGAACGGCGUUGUGAGAAGCUCCUGAAGCAGCAGAUCAAGCACGCAGCAACUGCAUGUGACCACCCACCUCCUCCUGUUGAGAUAUUGCUCGUGUGAUUUGAGGGCGAUAUCAGGGUCUGUGUAUCGCUUGCCGAGCUUUUUCCUCCAUCGUUGAGCACUGAGGAGCUGGAAUCGGAUUCGAGAGACUGACAGGACGGCGGGUUUGGGGUCAGAUGUUCGGUGCCAUAGUCAUACUUGGUGCUGACUGUGCCGUCCGAGCAAGCCUCUCUGUUGCCGCCGCUGCCGCCAUAAUAACAUUUCUCGUCCGGUCGGGCUGUUUCAGCACAAGAUCGGUUGAAAGAGGGAUUAAUGGACAGAGGGCUACCAAAGUAGGACUGAGG